rnacentral:piRNA from 1 species
UGGUCCUAUGAAGGCUCAAUAGAUGCCCAG